GCAAGUCGAGCGCGAACUUCGGGUCGAGCGGCGGACGGGUUAGUAACGCGUGGGAAUAUGCCCAAAGGUACGGAAUAGCCUCUGGAAACGGAGAGUAAUACCGUAUGUGCCCUUCGGGGGAAAGAUUUAUCGCCUUUGGAUCAGCCCGCGUUAGAUUAGGUAGUUGGUGGGGUAAUGGCCUACCAAGCCUACGAUCUAUAGCUGGUUUUAGAGGAUGAUCAGCAACACUGGGACUGAGACACGGCCCAGACUCCUACGGGAGGCAGCAGUGGGGAAUCUUGGACAAUGGGCGCAAGCCUGAUCCAGCCACGCCGCGUGAGUGAUGAAGGCCUUAGGGUCGUAAAGCUCUUUCGCCAGGGAUGAUAAUGACAGUACCUGGUAAAGAAACCCCGGCUAACACCGUGCCAGCAGCCGCGGUAAUACGGAGGGGGUUAGCGUUGUUCGGAAUUACUGGGCGUAAAGCGCGCGUAGGCGGAUCGGAAAGUUGGGGGUGAAAUCCCGGGGCUCAACCCCGGAACUGCCUCCAAAACUAUCGGUCUAGAGUUCGAGAGAGGUGAGUGGAAUUCCGAGUGU
rnacentral:rRNA from 1 species